AACUUCUUCUCAUGUGCAUUCCACGAGCCACCAACUCUUGAUGACGAUGUCCCAACCAUGAACGCUGUGAAGCUAGCUUUGGAGAUGCUAAACAACAACAACAAUGAGGUGAUGGUGGAGGCAUCUCCUAUGUUGCCGGGGUUUGGCAGGAGCCCAAUGGUGAGGCAGCUGAGGAUAACGGACUCACCGUUCCCAUUAAGAGAUGUUAAUGAUGACAAUGGUAUUGUGGACAAGAAAGCCGAGGAGUUUAUAGAGAGGUUCUACAAAGAACUGAGGCAACAGCAGCAAUGGCAGUGAGAGAGUGGCCGAUGAGUAAGCUCAGGCUGAGGGUUGUGGUUUGCAAUUUGGUUCUAUUGUUGCUGUCGUUCAC
rnacentral:misc_RNA from 1 species